GACAGAGGAUGCAAGCGUUAUCCGGAAUGAUUGGGCGUAAAGAGCUCGUAGGCGGCUUGUCGCGUCGGAUGUGAAAGCCCGGGGCUUAACUCCGGGUCUGCAUUCGAUACGGGCAGGCUAGAGUUCGGUAGGGGAGAUCGGAAUUCCUGGUGUAGCGGUGAAAUGCGCAGAUAUCAGGAGGAACACCGGUGGCGAAGGCGGAUCUCUGGGCCGAUACUGACGCUGAGGAGCGAAAGCGUGGGGAGCGAACAGG
rnacentral:rRNA from 1 species